rnacentral:rRNA from 1 species
GCGCGUAGGCGGUUUGUCGAGUUAGGCGUGAAAGGCCUGGGCUUAACCCAGGAAUGGCGCUUGAUACUGACGAUCUGGAGAUCGGGAGGGGAGAGUGGAAUUCCCAGUGUAGAGGUGAAAUUCGUAGAUAUUGGGAAGAACACCGGUGGCGAAGGCGGCUCUCUGGCCCGCAUCUGACGCUAAGGCGCGAAAGCGUGGGGAGCAAACAGGAUUAGAUACCCUGGUAGUCCACGCUGUAAACGAUGUGCACUAGGCGUGGGCCCGUACGGGUUCUGUGCCGUAGUUAACGUGGUAAGUGCACCGCCUGGGGAGUAUGCUCGCAAGGGUGAA